UACGAGAGGCCCAAACGUUAUUCGGAUUUACUGGGCUUAAAGAGUUCGUAGGCGGCGCGGAAAGUUGGGUGUGAAAUGCCUCGGCUCAACCGAGGAAUUGCGCCCAAAACUACUGGGCUUGAGGGAGUUAGAGGUGAGCGGAACUCACGGUGGAGCGGUGAAAUGCGUUGAUAUCGUGAGGAACACCGGAGGCGAAAGCGGCUCACUGGGGCUUAUCUGACGCUGAGGCACGAAAGCUAGGGGAGCAAACGGG
rnacentral:rRNA from 1 species